AUAAAUUAAAGUAAAUAAUAAAGGGCGUAUGGUGGAUGCCUAGGCUCUCAGAGGCGAUGAAGGACGUGAUAAGCUGCGAAAAGCUCCGUUUAGGUGCAAA
rnacentral:rRNA from 1 species